AUGAGUUAUUCGUCAUCUUCAUCUGGCGACGAUGAACUCAUACUUGCAGCAUUCGCCGAGCGCGAGAAGGAAGAGAGGAAGAACGCUCGACGCCAUGGCGGUUCCAAGCAUGGACGUCAGUCAAUCGAUCGAGGAAGAGAUUUCGGAUUUCUUCUUCUGUGCGACGACUACUUCAAAGAAGUUCCUCGCUUUCCCGAACAUUUGUUUCGACGAAGAUUUAGGAUGUCGCAUACUUUGUUCAACCGCAUAGCUGAUGGUAUACUUGGGUUACAUCCUUUGCAAAAGAUGACCGCGGCGAUGCGGAUACUAACAUAUGGAAUAGCAGCUGAUUAUGUUGAUGAGUAUAUCCGGUCCGCUGAGUCUACUAAUUUAGAGUCUUGCAAGAAAUUUGUGAUCAAAAUUUGUGAAGUUUUAGGCGCAUACCUUUUCUUCUAUAGUCCUUCCACUUUCUUGCCUAUUUAA
rnacentral:rRNA from 1 species